AUUGAACGCUGGCGGCAGGCCUAACACAUGCAAGUCGAGGGGCAGCAUGGUUAAUAGCAAUAUUAACUGAUGGCGACCGGCGCACGGGUGCGUAACACGUAUGCAAUCUACCUUGUACAGGGGCAUAACUUCGAGAAAUCGGUGCUAAUUCCCCAUAAUAUUGAGAUGUGGCAUCACAUUUUAAUUAAAGCUGAGGCGGUACAAGAUGAGCAUGCGUCCAAUUAGCUAGUAGGUGGGGUAACGGCUCACCUAGGCGACGAUUGGCAGGGGUUCUGAGAGGACGAUCCCCCACACUGGUACUGAGGCACGGACCAGACUCCUACGGGAGGCAGCAGUAAGGAAUAUUGCGCAAUGGACGAAAGUCUGACGCAGCCAUGCCGCGUGAAGGAUUGACGGCCCUAUGGGUUGUAAACUUCUUUUGUAUAGGAAUAAACCCUCGUUCGCGAACGAGGCUGAAGGUACUAUAAGAAUAAGCACCGGCUAACUCCGUGCCAGCCGCCGCCGUAACAC
rnacentral:rRNA from 1 species